ACCUAAUUGAAAACUGAACGAGGAAUAGGAUCAAAUCAAGCUCUGUCUGCGCAACUGUGAAAAUGAAGAGCGUUGCAAAGCCAAAGAUGAUAAUUUCCUAGCAUCAUAUGCAUGUUUUGUAAGGCCAUCGAAGCGAACCUUAAGUCUAAGGCGAUCCAGACGGAGAACUCUCAGCUGCCUCUCCAGAGCUGUGUCUGCCUGUGUACCGCCGUUCUUCCCACCUGGACAACAAUAGACUAAACCUCUGAACUGUAAGACAGUUAAAUGCUUUCUGUAUAAGAGUUGCUGUGGCCAUGGUGUCUCUUCACAGAGAUAGAACAGAGACAUGACAGCAAGUCUAGAGAGAAAGAGCAUGGCUUUCUCGGAAGCUCAUCGAUUGCUUUUUCUCUUUGCCCUCUCCAUCCAUGUUCACUAUGGGGAGUCCUUUAUCUCCUACAUUCCAUGUGCACACAUGACAGUUAAGAACUCAGCUUAAGCAUCCCCAGAAGAAGAACAACAAUAUCAACCAACCAGACACCCCAGAGCUUCCAGGGACUAAACCACCAUCCCAAGAGAACACAGGGAUGGACCUAUGGCUCCAGUCGCAUAUGAAGCAGAGGAUGGCCUUGUUGGGCAUCAUUGGGAAGAGAGGCCCUUGGUCAUGGCUCUGACUUUGACUCAGUGGAGCACACGAGUCUGCCCAAGCUGUUCUGGGACACUUACUGUCUGAUUUCUCUAUGAUGAGAUUCAAGUGAACAACCAUGUAGUUCUACAUCUAUGACCUCUGUUGUGUUUCUGUCAGCUCUGAAGAGGGCAUGUCCUCAUGACAUGCUCCAUAACCCCUGGAGAAGCCAUAAUUGAACAAGCUCAUUUAUUACUCAAAAAUCAAUCAAUCAAACCAACAAACCGGGAAAUAAGGAAAUACCAGCUCAGGAGCGACGUGCCAAAGGAGUCUUCACUUUCAAUUUUAAAAUUUGAUUCUCUCAAUCUUUCCUUCUGACACCUAAUAAAAUAUAACAUCCUAAAAAUACAAGAAGUAUCCAAACUCAGGAUUUUAUGUAAACUUCUAAAGGGACCUAACCAGGAUCUGGGCCCAAGGUUUUUAAAACCUGCAGCCCAGCAUCCACAGCUGUGAUUUUGCCUGUAGAUUUUUCUCGGGAUCCCAAGGUGAUUGGUAAAGCCACAUGGUGAGCAGGCACCAGGAGACUACCAGCUGGAAACAAAGCAGAGACAUCACUUGACUAUCGAUCGCAUGUCACUUCUAAGUCUUACCCCACUGACCAAACUUCCUCUCAUUACAAUGUGUCUUCAUCUCCUGGCUUUAAUUCUAAAACAAGUCCAGGCCUGGAUUCCUGGCAUGGGGGAAUCUAGAACAACUUAGCUAUGUUCAUACACACAGAAAGGUUCAUCACAGUGGUUACUGCAGCUUUAGUAGCUGUUAUAGUCAUCACUGUCACUGCAACGGUAAUCACGUUUAUUCUAUGGGAACUACAGCAAAUGUCAGCUCCUGUUGUAGUGAAUAAUAUAAAUAAAAAGUGAGACACCAACCCACACUAUCACUGGCAGGGUAGGGCCACAUGGCAUCUGUGGGGUAUUUUCAUCUCAGUCAGCCAAACUCUGGUUUAGAGCUCUCAAAAUGUCUCCACCAGACUCUCGCUAAGUUCCCAAUUUCUGUCACAGGCAUUCUCUGGGCCCUGUGGCUAUCUCACCACCCUGGCUAGCCCCAGAAGUGACCGCCCUUCUAGUUCCCAUGGAGGGGUGUGGGUGGGGGAGCCACCACUCCAGCCCCAUUCAGACAUCUACCCCCUGUGGUUACAGUCACAACUCCCAGUAACCCGUUAAAAUCAAAACUCUAGAAGCUCAUAAUUUGUCAAUCAGAUUUAUAUCAGUAGAUUCUCAUCCCACAAAAUGUCCAUACGAUAAACUCAGAACCAAUUGGUAUUGAUAUAAACUGCCCACCUAGAUAAGACAAUUUGUCCUGUAAAAAUCCAUCUCCCAUGAAAUGUUCAUAGCUACCUGUGGCCACUUAAAGCCACACCAGACCUUCUCUGCCUCCAUCUUGGUUCUUCUUCUCCUUUCUCCUCUCUCCCCACCUUCAAAAACUCUGUCCCGGCCUUACUUUUUCACUGCCCAAUCACAGGCCUUGCCUUAUCUUGUGCCUGCCCUUAUCUGCAUAUAGACAUCUACCCAUAAGUUCCUAUCUUUAAAACAACACUACUGAAUUACAGGCACAAACCCAAACUGGCCAACAAGUCCCUAAGAGUUUUGAUGUCCUUUGAAACCAAGGCCAUGUGGCUUGGGGGACAUCAAGAACGUCCGACCUUCUCGAUUCUCUUAUCUCCACCUGUCCAAGACUGGGGUUACAGGAGCAUGCUCCCCGUUAGCUAUUUUCACGUAGGUACUCGGGAUAUUCUGACCUUAGGUCUGUGUGGUUGCAUGGGAAGCACUUUACAUCCCUCUCAGUUCCAUAGUUUAUGUCUAUUUUUAAUUGGAUUUUUAAAUUGUUGUAUUAUAGUAUUCUGGAUAUUGAUCUGUUACCUGAUGUUUUGAAAAUAUUUUCUUUCAUUCUAUGGACUGUCUUUCAAUCUCUUUUUUGAUGUACAAAAGAUUUAUUUAGGAGGAAAUCCAGUUUAACUACUUUUUCCUUUUAUAAUUAAUAUUUUGGUGUAUUAUCCAAGAAAUAAUUGUCAGAUCUAAUGUCAUAAA